UGAUCCCGAUGCAGCUGCUGCGGUCCGUCAGACCUUCUGGGUGUUUCUGCCUCCAAACCUCCGUCUGAUCCGAGCGGACAUGGCGGUGCAGCCCGGGAUAACCACCGCUACGCUCCACCGGGGACCAACUUUCUCCGAUUAUCCGAUAAAAUGAAUAAAAUCACCAUGUUUGGAGAAAACCAAUGCUGCAGCGUUUCGGUGCGCAAAACUCUCCAAACUUUUGCCGGCAGAUUUCCAAAAGCAGGAACGGCUUUUCCAGGGAGAUGAAGGAAGUGUGGAGGAUUCUUUCCAGGAAGUGAUGAAAAAUCUUCUAACAACAGACGCGGUGACGAGGGUGCGAACAGCAAUCGGUGGCUCCUCCUCUCUGACUCGCUCACCUUUGACCUGCCAGAUGUCUGGAGGAACCAGGAGCAUCAGAACCACAGAUCCACACCAACCUUUCCUCAGACAGGCAGCAGCUUUCUGCAAUGUUUUCUGCAUGAAAUACAUUUUUGCACAGGAGGAAUAUUAAAUGCAAACUUACUGAAAGGACGUUGUGACUUGUUCUAUGUAUUGUAUUGAUUACUAUCUGCAUGCAGCAGAGAUAGUUCAAUAAUCCACCUGAACCAAUCAGAGUUUGACUUUAUGUUUGUGCAACAACAGACGCUGGAAAUAAGUAAUAAUAAGUAGAUGCUUUUAUUUUGGUAAUUUGCAGUGGCUGUAAUCAAAAAGAUCAGUUCUGCUAAUGCUAAAGCGCUACAUGCUACAGCAUUUCAUUUAGUAGAAGCAGAUGCUAAGAUGCUAACUUUAAUUUAAACUAGUUUGAAAAGUAGAAAAUCUGACAGAGGAAACGAAGGAAUUUUAAGAUUAAUCUCAGAAAUUAAAAAACAAUAUAGUAAUUUCUGAGUAUGAAAAGUCAAAAAAAAAAAAAGAAGCUCAAAUUUUUUUUGUUUUUUUUCUCUAAAAUUUCUCAAAAUUACAGUUUUUUUCUAGCAUUUCCUUUAACUUUUCAAACCCCAAAAUGUUCUGGCUAAAUUUCUUUCAGGAAAAUUUCUGAGAGUUCUCAGAACUUUUGGAUUAUUUUUCUAGCAAAUAUUUGCCUUUCAAACUCUGACAUUCCCACGUUUUUUUAUAGCAAAUUCGCAACUUUCCAAGCUCAGAGAUUUCUUUGUUUUUUCUACAACAUUUCAAAAGUUAAUAUCAAUAUCUGAGCUUUUUUAUAGCAUUUUUUUUUUACUUUUCAAACUCUGAAAUUUCUCUGUUUUUUCUUGAAAAUUUCUGAGAUUUUUUUGGUGGAAAUUUAACCCUUUACAUUUUCUUAUUUCCAAACUCCCAUUUUGUAUUUUCACUUAUCUGUGUAGGUCAGUGGUUGCUUGGCUGCCAGUCGUUCACAUGAAUUAAAUAAAAACAAUAAGGAUGAAUAAACUACAACGCUUCGACAUGUUUUCCAUUUGUGCUGCUGCUCCAACGUCUGGCAGCCUAAAGGUUUGGCGUCUUAAAGCAAGCGAUUCCUCUGAGCAGCAGAGAAGAAGAAAGGAGCUGAAGACGAGACGUUUAAGCUGAGAAUGAUGGGAAGAAACGCCGUUUGAUCCAUCUGAGCCACCGUCUCUUAAACCCAGAGGAUUUUCAGGGUUUCAGCAGAAAGGAAACGUUCACACAUGAA